CACGUAGGGUGCGAGCGUUGUCCGGAAUUAUUGGGCGUAAAGAGCUCGUAGGCGGUGUGUCGCGUCGGCCGUGAAAACCUGCAGCUUAACUGUGGGCUUGCGGUCGAUACGGGCAUCACUGGAGUUCGGCAGGGGAGACUGGAAUUCCAGGUGUAGCGGUGAAAUGCGUAGAUAUCUGGAGGAACACCGGUGGCGAAGGCGGCAUCCUGGACCGGCAUUGACGCUGAGGCGCGAAAGCCAGGGGAGCAAAC
rnacentral:rRNA from 1 species